rnacentral:rRNA from 1 species
AGGGCGCACGAUGGAUGCCUUGGUACUGGAAGCCGAUGAAGGACGUGGCAAGCCACGAUACUGCCCCGGUCAGGUGCAAGCAACCGUUGACCCGGGGAUCUCCGAAUUGGGAAACCACGCGUCCGUAACGGGACGUCACUUUCCGCCUGAAUAUAUAGGGCGGAAGGAGGUAAGCGGGCGAAUUGAAACAUCUUAGUAGCCCGAGGAAAGGAAAGCAACAGCGACUCCCCCAGUAGUGGCGAGCGAAAGGGGAUGAGCCUAAACCUCAUACGUGUACAAGCUUGUGGGCGUUGCGUAUGGGGUGUCGCGGGAAGAGCCACCUGUCGCCACAACGGCAGAGAGUGCACGCAGUGUCUAGUGGAAACACUCUGGAAAGGUGUGCCACAGACGGUAAUAGCCCGGUACACGAAAGACACCGGCGGUGCUCGGCUCUCUCCCAAGUAGUGCGGGACACGUGAAAUCCUGCGCGAAUCCGGGAGGACCACCUCCUAAGGCUAAGUACUUCCAGUAACCGAUAGUGAACCAGUACCGUGAGGGAAAGGUGAAAAGAACCCCGGAAGGGGAGUGAAAUAGAACCUGAAAUCGUGUGCCUACAAGCGGUAGGAGCCCGGUGGUCCUUCGGGGCCCGGGUGACUGCGUGCUUUUUGCAUAACGAACCGGCGAGUUGCGGUAUGUGGCUUGGUUAAGCGGUGAAUCGCGAAGCCGAAGGGAAACCGAGUCCGAAUAGGGCGCACGUCGCAUGCUGCAGACCCGAAACCAGGUGACCUAUCCAUGUCCAGGGUGAAGCGCGGCUAAACCCGCGUGGAGGCCCGAACCGUUGAGUGUUGAAAAACUCUCGGAUGAGGUGUGGAUAGCGGUGAAAAGCCAAACGAACCUGGCGAUAGCUGGUUCUCCCCGAAAUAGCUUUAGGGCUAGCCUCUGGUGUUCAGUGAUGGAGGUAGAGCACUGGAUGGGCUAGGGCCCUUGACAGGGUACCAACCCCAACCAAACUCCGAAUACCAUCACUCCACAGCCAGGGAGUCAGACCACGGGGGAUAAGCUUCGUGGUCGAAAGGGAAACAGCCCAGACCGCCAGCUAAGGUCCCUAAACUGUACUAAGUGGAAAAGGAUGUGGAAGUGCCGAGACAGCCAGGAGGUUGGCCUAGUAGCAGCCACCCUUUAAAGAGUGCGUAAAAGCUCACUGGUCGAGUCCUUCGGGACGAGUGCCUCCGCGCCGAAAAUUCAAUGGGGCUCAAGUACAGUACCGAAGCUGCGGAUUUCUGUGGGGAGUAGCCAAACGGUUCCGAAUACGGGGCCGGUUGCUGACUUCGGUCGGCGACUGGCUUCAACCUCGGAGUUGUGCGGCCACUCCAGCAACCACAGGAGUGAUAGGGGAGCGUUCCGCUGUAGGUCGAAGGAGGAUCGCGAGAACCUCUGGACGACGCGGAAGUGAGAAUGCCGGUAUGAGUAGCGAAAAGCCGGGUGAGAAUCCCGGCCGCCGAAAGCCUAAGGUUUCUUAAGCAAGGCUCGUCCGCUUAAGGUUAGUCGGGCCUAAGCCGAGGGCGAAAGCCGUAGGCGAUGGACAGCAGGUCAACAUUCCUGCACCACUGAGCCAGCAACGGCGCUUUGCGCCGAUACCGAAGGGGCGACGCAGAAGGGUAGGUCAACCGCACGAUUGGAGGUGUGCGGCCAGAGCUUUAGGAGGGAUGGUAGGAAAAUCCGCCAUCUAUCAACUCUGAGGGUGAUGGGGAGCCGCCGUAAGGGUGGCGAACUGACUGACCCCACACUGCCAGGAAAAACCUCUAGGGAAUGCUGGACGGUGCCCGUACCGCAAACCGACACAGGUAGGCUAGGAGAGAAUCCUAAGGCGCGCGAGAGAACCCUCGUUAAGGAACUCGGCAAACUUGCUCCGUAACUUCGGGAGAAGGAGCGCCCCUGAUCGUGACGGACUUCGCGUCUCGAGCGACCGGGGGUCGCAGUGAAAAGGCCGGGGCGACUGUUUACCAAAAACACAGGUCUCUGCUAAAGCGUGAGCUGAAGUAUAGGGGCUGACGCCUGUCCAGUGCCAUACGCUUAAGGGGAUGACUUAGCCGUGCGACUUCGGUCGCGUGGCGAAGGUCAGAGCCGAAGGCUUGGUGAACGACGGCCGUAACCAUGACGGUCCUAUGGUAGCGAAAUUCCUUGUCGGGUAACUUCCGACCCGCACGAAAGGCGUAACGAUCCCGGCGCUGUCUCAACGAGGGACUCGGCGAAAUUGUAGUGCCAGCGAAGAUGCUGGCUUCCCGCGGAAAGACGGAAAGACCCCGUGGAGCUUUACUGUAGCUUGGUAUUGAGUUUGAUCACUCUGUGUAGAGGAUAGGUGGGAGGCUUUGAAGCCGGGUCGUCAGGCCCGGUGGAGCCACCGGUGGAAUACCACCCUCGGAGUGGUUGGAACUCUAACUCUGACCGUUAUCCGGUCAGGAGACAGUAUCUGGCAGGCAGUUUGUCUGGGACGGAUGCCUCCUAAACUGUAACGGAGGCGCUCAAAGGUCCCCUCAGCGCGGCCGGAAAUCGCGCAUAGAGCGUAAGGGUAGAAGGGGGCUUAACUGCGAGACUGACCAGUCGAGCAGAUGCGAAAGCAGGACCUAGUGACCCGACGGUUCUCGAGUGGGAGAGCCGGAGCUCAUCGGAUAAAAGUUACCCCGGGGAUAACAGGCUUAUCUCCCCCGCGCGUCCACAGCGACGGGGAGGUUUGGCACCUCGAUGUCGGCUCGUCGCAUCCUGGGGCUGAAUUCGGUCCCAAGGGUUGGGCUGUCCGCCCAUUAAAGCGGUACGCGAGCUGGGUUCAGAACGUCGUGAGACAGUUCGGUCCCUAUCUUCCGUGGGCGUUGGAAACUUGAGGGGCGCUGUCCCCAGUACGAGAGGACCGGGAUGGACAGACCUCUGGUGUACCAGUUGUCGCGCCAGCGGCAUGUGCUGGGUAGCUACGUCUGGUCUGGAUAAGCGCUGAAAGCAUCUAAGCGCGAAGCCGACCCCAAGAACAGGUUUCCACGAGCUUCGAGCUGUAAGGCCCCUGGUAGACUACCAGGUAGAUAGGCCGGAGGUGUAAGCACAGCAAUGUGUUCAGCUUACCGGUACUAAUUGGCCGAGCGCUUUCUCU